rnacentral:piRNA from 1 species
GAGGGCUGGUGUUCCUAUGACUGUUGCC